rnacentral:lncRNA from 1 species
GGCCACCUGCAGGUCAGUGGGCAGCUCCCAGGCAGGGGCCACUGAGGUCCCCCUGUGCAGAACCCCCAGAAGACUGACUCAGAGGCAGUGGGGCUCAGGUGGGCUGACUAGGGGGGUCCCCCAAAAUGACACAUCUAAGUCCUGUCUUGUACCUGGGAACUGACCCUUGUUUGCAAAACGGAUCUUUCAGAUGUGAUUAAGGAAGAAUCCAGAUGAGAUUGCCCAGAAUUUAAAGUGAGACUUAAAAUCCAAGGCCUGAUGUCUUUACCUAACAAAGGAAACUGCAGGAAUGCAGGAGGAUGGAGAGAGAAGACUUUCUCGCUGUGCUGUCCUGGAGUGUUGGACGACGCAGGUGCUCUGAGCGGAGUCUGGGCCUGGGAGUCCCCAUCCCUCAGGUACAGGUUCGCCCCAGAUCUCCCUCAGAGACAGGACCAGGCCUCAGUUUAGCUCCUUGAGUCCCUCGACUGACUCCUGCAGUAGGGCCAGUCUGGGGCAGCUCGGGUCAGCCUGGAGGGGCGCAGGGGCGGAGCGAAGGUGAGUGCUGCGGUCUGACAGGAGGCGAGGCCGGGGUGCGGGCAGUGUGGACAGAGUGGGCACCCACAUUUCCUGAGGGCCACUGUGACUCAGGCACAGUGCUGCCCUUCCAUCGCUCCUGGAGUGGCAAGGUGGAGACGGCUGUGUCCAUCUGAGCGGAGAGUGAAAGGUUUGGGAAAGUUAAGGACGUUUCCCAAGGGCACAGCGUGUUUGGGGCAAAGUUGCCUGACUCACGUGGAGUUGAGGUUCAGAGGACCUUGAGAGCAGGAAGAGGGGUUGGAAUGUGAGGCCACAGGUAAUAGGGAGCCACUGGAGGUGUUUGAGCGCUAGCUGACACAAUGAAAGGGAUGCCAGCCGAGACUUGGCAGCCGAGGAGAGGCUAACAGUAAAAUUGUACCAUAGAACAAGCAUUGUGAUCAAAAGGCUCCAGUGCUUCCUGGCUACCAUUCCCACAAAAGUGACUCCAUUAUAGUUCUCCGGCUCAGGGUCAAUACCUCAGUCUCCUAACCCCUUCCAGCUUUCCUUGGAAGGAGAUGUUUGAACAGGACUUGAUUGCAGGGUACUGUAGCCAGAACAGGGCAGGGAAAGACGUUCUGGGCAGAGGGAACAGCAGGACAGGGGGCUUAGAGGCAAGGCCGGCCCUGACUGCUCAAAGCUUGGCUGUGUGCUCACCCAGGCUCUCCUGGGCCUGUGGCAGUGCAUUCCUCUAACCCACAGCCACAAUUAGUUUUGCACCCAAACUGAAAUGAAAGAUCGUUGCAACUCCAGAUGCUAGAAAUGCCAGGUUCAUUACUUCCUGGGAUUUUGUCCAUGCUCUUGUUCUAGAUUCAGUGAAAGCAAUUUGAGGUAAUUAAUUAAAUUUGUUAUCUGAGUAAUAAAGAUAGAAAUUCAGCGAAGUGCUGGGAAGGGGAAGCAAUGUUGCUGGCGAAGGAUGCCGACGACUCAUUUCAUCUCUGCCUGCUCCCCCAGGGCUCCUGCUUUGUUCCUGGACUGCUCUCGGUCCGAGCCGAGCUCAGGAGUCAGGGCUGACUGGUCAGGAGUCCGUGUUUGAGACAGAGCGAGGGAGCAGGAGGUCCACACUGGGGACGUGGGGCUGGCCGAGAGAGGAGCGCUCAGAGAUCAAUCCGUGCCAGUAGGGGCCCAGCAGGGGCCCGAGGCUCUGCCAGGCGGGAGGAGUGGGGCAUGCGCAGAAACUGCGGGGGGGAGCGGCUGGAAGUUAAAGGCCCGACUGCAGGGUGUGGUGGGCGGAAGGCGGACAGCAGGAGAGGGUUCUGGAGCCAAAGCCAGGGGGCCUUGUCCAGACACAGGUAGGGCACCCCGGCACCCCCAGUGGUCAGACACCAACACGGCAGUGAGCGUGAGCCAAGGUUAAGACUACUGGGGUCUCUGUGUAACCCAGGUCAGUAAAUGUGCUGAAACAUCAACCCCCGAAUCUCCAUGGGGAGGAUCCCCUAAACAGAGGCAAAAGACAAAGGAAAAGCUGGGGAGCAAUUCCUUAAUAUAUAAAGAGCCUCUUUACAUCAAUAAGAAAGACAAAACAGUGAGAAAAGUGGGAAAAGGUUAGGAAUAGACAAGCUGUUGGAAAUAAACUAUAAACGGCUCUUAAACACAUGCAAAGCUGCGUAUUCUUCUCCAUAAUGAGGUAAAUGCACAUGAAGAGUAGGCAAGAGAUGCCAUCUUUAUUCAUCAGACUGAUCGAGCUUCAAACAGAGGGUGAUAUGCUGAGCUGACAUUGGCGUGGAGAAAUGGGUGCUCGAAUUGUUAUGCUGUUAUUACCUCGCUGGAGAGCAAUUUCACAUUUUCUAUCAAGAUUAUAAAGACAUGAAUUUGCUUCAGAUUCAGCUCCUUGGAAUUUACCCUACAGGUGCGAAGACUAUCUGUGUUAUCUUGGGGGGAAACAACAGAAGGGCUUGUGAGUAGGGAGCUGGAAAAGAACAGAUGUAACUGGGCAGUGGAAUACCACACAGCCAGUAAAAAGACAGAAGGA